GUUUUAGUCCAGCGGCACCAUUCCGUACAAGAGCAGUUAUAUUUUAGGAAACUGGGACAAGAGGUCAAGGCUGGGAGUGCUUCGGGACUGGCUGGAUCAUGGUUUUUGGAGACAGGCCUGGAAAUGGAGUGUGGCACUAGAAGAGAAGAACUUCGUUUCCAGGUCAGCAUCACAAGACGCAUGAAAGAGGACUCAUCGCCAGGGCAUGGAGCUGGUGUUUUGAUCAAAAUGGAAUUUGCUCUCAAAUAGACAUGUAUUCACUAAUCUCCUUUCUUUUAAAUAAGUAAAUAAAACAAACACAAAAUCUCUUCCAGCUCAGCUGACUAAGUCCUAGUGGGGAUGACAGCAACAUUCACUUGCAAGAUCCCACAGAGCUAG